rfam:Oceanococcus atlanticus strain 22II-S10r2 contig1, whole genome shotgun sequence.
CAAUCCGCCAAGGAUGGCGGAUUGAGGUGUGCCACGACAGGACGUCGUGUCGCACCG